CUCUUAUCGACCCACAUCUCCACUCCCCCGUUCUCCCCUUCCACCCCACCGCCCUCAACCUCAAACCCACCUCUACUCUCCGCAUCUCACCCGUGUCUCCAAAGCAUGGAAGAAGAUGGCGGUGGAUCUGAGAUUGGAAGAAGAUGACAGCAGCAUCCUCAAUCCAAGGAGCCAUUUUGAAGAAGGUAAAAGGUUGUGCUCUGACUUGAUCAAUUGAUGUUGCGGCUAGGAAUGACGAUCAUGGACGGAGCUGAGGCUAGGAACAACGAUCAUGGACAGAGUUACCUUGUUGAGUUGCGUAUUGGGAUCGGUAUGUUGCCGUCGAUUGGAGCUUUUCUGUUCCUUAGAAGAGAUGAUUGUUGCUAACUUUUAGGCUGAAAUAGAGCAAGUGUACUUUUGGGAGUUGAAGAGGAAGAUAUGGCAAUAGAAAAGGAAGAAGGUUUACCUCAUGCUCUAUUCGGUAGCGGCAAUGACCGUGCAAAAUAACUUCACACUUCUCCUUCAGGGAUGGUUAUUCGAGAAGGAGGACAUAGACAAGAUGUUGACGGCAGCCUUUCCAUUCGUCGUGCUUGAAUUGCAAUGCUGUCUUCUCGAAAAACAGCUAAGUCGCUUCUGGAAAGAGUAAUAGGGGUCUCGUCUAUACUUAGUCAUCUCAACUUUGCCUGUGGUUACUGUGAUCAGUCUCCUUGAGGGCGACUUAAUGGUUUCAUGAAACAUGGUAACAGAUUAUGAUGGUGGAUGUGGUUUGGAUUCACACUGUGUGCCUCUCUUUCGUGUGUUUGAAACAAGCUUGGCUUGUGUGGAACAAAAGAACCUGGUUUUUCUUUAUCUUCAUCCUAGAUUUAAUCAGUCUGGACAACUUUGGUACAUUUACUCUAGUACUGCUCUUGUUAAAUGAAGCUUAUGCGUAAACUGAAUUUGUUGUGUGGGGUUAGCCGAGAUUUCCUUUGUAAAUUGUGCUUUUGUUGUUAGAUAGAAUGCUUUUGCAGGUAGAGAAAUGGGAAUUUGCGCCUUUGACAGGAACUUGGUUUUUUGAGUAAAUUAGUCUUGUUGUCCUCCAGGCAAUGAGUAAUUUAUCUUUUAAUUUUGAUUUGGUUGUGAUUGCAGAUGUGCUUGCAUUUUAAUACCUGUAUGCAUUGGGUCAUUAACGUUGUAAUGGAUUGAGCCCAACUGUUUUGUGAAGCCACAUGAGGUUUGGUUUCUUGGACAUUUGGAUUAACACAACUUUUUUGUGUGUGAGCCUGCUUAAAAAUCUAAUCCAUGAAAACCCUGAUUCCAAGCAAUUUGGAGACCCAUACGAAUUGCUUUGAGUUCGGCGACAAGGCUGGUUGUGUCGCCCACGUGCUGAUUGUAUCCAAGUAUCCAACGCCCAUAAGAAUCCCAAAAAACCCCUCCGAUACCAGCUCUACCUGCUUGAGAAUUUGCGCUUCUAUAACUCAUAGUUCCACUGAAGUCUACAAGGUUCUCCGAUGGUUCAAUAUAGGAGUCAAUUAAACAAGGUUCUCUGAUGGUUCAACAGUCAUAUUUUGGCCCAACUAAAACUGACCAUUGGAUUUGCCACAAUUCUGAAAUCUUCAUUGCUCUGUUUUUCUGUACAGUGUACACCAAUUAUCAAACCAUACUUGUUCUUGAAUGAUGUAGAAGAUUUGGCAAUGCCAAACCUUAUAUGUUGGCAGGAGGUGUUGAGUCUAUUGACCAUUGGAGAUGUUAACAAAUGAGACCAAGUCUCAUAUUUUGGCAUUGUUAUAUUUUUGGCAGUUGUAACUGUAACAGUUAUGUUCUGUUCAUUGGGCAUGAUGGCUUUUCACGUAUUCCCGAAUUCUUUAUGAGUUGCAAUUGUGAAUCUGAAUUUCGGGUUCAAUAGGAAACCAGAUCUAGGUUUGGGUCCAUGUGACUGCAUAUUUUGCUUACAAUGGAGAUCCUCUAAUGGUCUUUGUAAUCAAUUGCUUAUAGAACAGCUACCAA